rnacentral:rRNA from 1 species
CCUACGGGAGGCUGCAGUGGGGAAUAUUGGGCAAUGGGCGCAAGCCUGACCCAGCAACGCCGCGUGAAGGAAGAAGGCUUUCGGGUUGUAAACUUCUUUUCUCAGGGACGAAGAAAGUGACGGUACCUGUUUAGAAAGCUCCGGCUAACUACGUGCCAGCAGCCGCGGUAAUACGUAGGGAGCAAGCGUUGUCCGGAAUUACUGGGCGUAAAGGGCGCGUAGGUGGGCGCUUAAGUCAGGUGUGAAAACUCCGGGCUCAACCUGGAGACUGCACUUGAAACUGGGUGUCUUGAGGGCAGGAGAGGAAAGUGGAAUUCCUAGUGUAGCGGUGAAAUGCGGAGAUAUUAGGAGGAACACCAGUGGCGAAGGCGACUUUCUGGACUGUACCUGACGCUGAGGCGCGAAAGCGUGGGUAGCGAACGGGAUUAGAUACCCUUGUAGUC